AACUAAUAAAUGAUUAUGACAUAACUGACAUUGCAUGUAAAUACAUUGAUAAGUGAAAAAAUGGAAUGCUUCGAUUUACUGACAUUUUCAAUUUACAGCACUUGUCUGGAACCAAAGGUGACAUAACUCUGGGUUAUUCCUGUGUAUUGAAUGGGUCUCACAAUGCAUGUUUCAUUUCUCAAAGUGAAGCAUCACAUUCUCUCUCUCAAAUCAUCUCAUUUAUUAUGUUGGAAUCGUCUCAUAAAGUUUCUUGUAUUAUAGCUGCUAUCACCAUCCUGUUGAAACUAUACUAGACAUGUAGCAACGUUUAAUUGUAAAGUUUUUUGUACAGAGAUUCUUGCAUCAUUGUGAUAGUAAUAUCAUAACUACUCAACAUCUCAUACUCUGACACUUUCAUUGUGCAGGUGUUUGAUGCAACAGUUAUGGAUUUCCUGCUGCACAUUAUCUGAAAUUCUAUUUCUAUAAAUGAGCUUUAUCAUUCAUAAUUUUAUAAUUGAGAAAUUGUGGAUUUGUCUCAUUUGCAAGAGAUUUCUCAAAAUUUUGAAUGGAUUAUUGAAAUGGAUUAUAUGAGAUAUGCCUAAACAUUGAUAAUUUUAUCUGACAUAUGUAGGGCUAUUGAAUGUCAGUGUGCAAAACAUAGCUGAUUCUGCUUCAAUUCUUUCUCCCUCCACAUUUUUCUGGACUAAAAUGACUAAUGAAGAUCCGGGAGCUUCUUGUCAAUGACAGAUGCAAUUGUCCUGGACCUUCACCCUUCUUUGUAUAUGAUGUAGCAUGUAGGAAUGUUGUUGUUUUUUCCAAUGUUAAAAUGAUAUCUAAAUAACGAUUAUUUCUGUAUUGAAGUGUGUUUGAAAAUAGUUCUAUGGAAAAUGCCAGAUUUUGAACUUUACAUUUAAUAAGAGAGAGAGGCAUGUGAUAUCUCAUUUUGAGAAAUGAAAUAUGCAUUGCAAGAUUUAUCAGUAUACAACUUCUUGUGAAGCUGUCUGAAGCGGGAGCAAUGUGAAUCAUCCUUGCAUUGUUCAAUUUUUGAAGGAUAGUAUAUAAGCUGAACUUCUGCAGGUUCCAAAUAAGCUGCAAAAAGUGAUGACUCUGUGAUUAUAUAAUCCUUUCAAUGAUAAAGUGAAGAGAGUUUUGGAAAGUAUGAGAAAAGACACAGAAUCCUUGUCAAAAAUAUGACAAGCUACUAAUAGAAAAAAUAGCACUUUUAAUUCUCUCUUAUGACAUGCAGUUGUUAAUGAGUGAUUUUUGUCCCUACACAAAAGAUAUUUAAUUUUGAAAUCAUGACAUAUUUCAGUUAUCUUUGCUUAAGCC
rnacentral:lncRNA from 1 species